AUGUUCCACUUGGUGAGCAACUUCAAGAAGAAGUUUACUGGAAAAGUAUUUGAUGACCACCUAUGGGCAGCUGCUUACUCAUGGAACACAUAUAUAUUUGACAAGAAUUGGGCUGCAAUGGAGGCAGUAAAGCCAGCCGCAAUAGCAUAUAUUAGGAAGUGGCACAAUAGGUUGUGGUCUAGGAGUCAGUUCUCGACCAUAUGCAAGGUGGACUAUGUAACCAACAACUUGGCGGAGUGCUUUAACAAUUGGAUCAAGCACCACAAGUCAUUGAACUUGGACAAGGCGAGGCAGCUGAUUAUGAUCUUGUGGAAUGAUAGGAGAAAAGUAGCAAAGAAGUUAGAUGGAUUGAUUCUACCCCACAUAAUGAAGAACUUAAACGCAUUGACUAGAGAAUUCAACUUGGAGGUGGUAGAAUGCUUAGAAGAAGUGGCUGAAGUGGUUGCAUUAGGAGGCAGCGGUUUUAGACCAUCCUAUUCCAACCUGAUCCCUGCUAUGCCUGACAAGAGCCAAUGGCCUGAAUCUGACCAUGGAUUUUUCAUGCAUCCACCACUAAUUAAAGCUACAGCUAGCAGGCCUAAAACUGAGAGAUAUAAAGGUUGUAGUGACAAGAAAAGAAAAAAGGGCAAGCACUUAUGUCCAAUUUGUAAGGAAUAUGGGCAUCAUUGGCACAACUGUAAGAAGGGUAACCCUGAUGACAUUGCUGCAAUGUUGGCUAUUAGAGAACCACCAAAGAAGAGGGCAAAGACUAGCAAAACAGCCCAAUCCAUUGUGCCUUGCAAGGAUGGAGCACCAACAAGGAUGCUUUUUCCACCACCAAGUCAAAGCUUGGAAACUACAACUAAGAAAAAGAGAAAACAUGACAACACUGAAUCUGGAGGUUCAAAGAGAUCAAAAACUCGCUCCAUUGAGAAGGCCAAGACGAAAAAGAAGGUUGUUGAGAAGAGUCCGGUGCCACUUGAUAGCCCAGCAAUGGGCACAAGGAGCAGAAAGUUUAAUCCUCCUAGCCCUGCUAUGAGCACAAGAAGCAAAAGAAGGCUCGGCUUGUAA
rnacentral:rRNA from 1 species